GAUGAACGCUGGCGGCGUGCCUAAUACAUGCAAGUCGAGCGAACAGAUGAGGAGCUUGCUCCUCUGACGUUAGCGGCGGACGGGUGAGUAACACGUGGAUAACCUACCUAUAAGACUGGGAUAACUUCGGGAAACCGGAGCUAAUACCGGAUAAUAUAUUGAACCGCAUGGUUCAAUAGUGAAAGACGGUUUUGCUGUCACUUAUAGAUGGAUCCGCGCCGCAUUAGCUAGUUGGUAAGGUAACGGCUUACCAAGGCAACGAUGCGUAGCCGACCUGAGAGAGUGAGCGGCCAGACUGGAACUGAGACACGGACCAGACUCCUACGGGAGGCAGCAGUAGGGAAUCUUCCGCAAUGGGCUAAAGCAUGACGGAACAGCGCCGCGUGAGUGAUGAAGGUCUGCGGAUCGUAAAACUCUGUUAUUAGGGAAGAACAAAUGUUUAAGUAACUAUGCACGUCUUGACGGUACCUAAUCAGAAAGCCACGGCUAACUACGUG
rnacentral:rRNA from 1 species